rnacentral:rRNA from 1 species
GUUCCCGGGCCUUGUACACACCGCCCGUCACACCAUGGGAGUGGGUUGCACCAGAAGUAGCUAGUCUAACCUUCGGGAGGACGGUUACCACGGUGUGAUUCAUGACUGGGGUGAAGUCGUAACAAGGUAGCCGUAGGGGAACCUGCGGCUGGAUCACCUCCUUA